GAAUUUUCCUAAAUUCAAAAUUUCCCUUGCCACUCUCUCGCUCCCUCUCGCCUUUUCCUUCGUCGUCGUCUUCCAUCGCAGCUAACUGAAGCUCCCCAAACUACGCAUCGAACACAGGCCUGCAGCCGGUGUAAAAACCCCCCUUUCUCCAUUCUCAAUCGCCAGUAACUUGCCAAACAUCAAUUUCAUCAGUAUUUCAUAACCAAUGGUAAACAUAAUUGGUGUAAUGCUAUAUAUGACUAUAUAAGCCCACAAUUGGGGCCCAUUGGUGUGAUGCAUUUACAGAGGCCGAAGCCAGAGGGCCUUGAGGGAAAUCUAGUUCCUAUACUCAAAGGGUUCACACAUCUCCUUGCUGUGUGGAUGUGUGAACAUGUCAGAAUAAUGCAUCCUUAUAGACAACAUGCCCUUCCAAGAAUAUGCAGAUGAAAGUGGUCAGGCUUCCGUGUGGAGACAAUAAAGUUUAAGAUCGUAUAAUUACCUGCGACCAAACUAAUUGUUGAUUUAACUCCAUCAGAUCUAGAGAUACAUCUUCUCACAAAUAAAUCUCUAGUAGAUAUUGUGGAGCAUAUAGAUCAACAAAUUGUUGAGGGGUUUAUACAAUCAAUUUCUGAGGAAAAUCUUAAACAAGUUCCUGAGCAAUUUCCUGAACAGGCAACCGAAGCUCUGGAAAAUCCAGAAUAAGUUCCAAACAAUUUCCUGAACAGACAGCUGAAGCUCAGGAAAAUCUUGAACAAGUUUCUUAGCAAUUACUGCAGAAUAUAUUCAGGAGAAAGAGGCUUGUACAAAUUUUCAAGCAAGGGAGGGCGAAAUUGAUCAUUUGGAGUCUAUGGUUGAGGGCAAAGACAAAAUCAUUGCCUAGAUGGAGGCUAGAAUUAGUGAGUUAAUUGUGUUGGAACCUCAAGGUUGUUUUGGUGUGAUCAACAAGUUAAGUUAGGUCCUGUGUGUUUCUAACCUUGUGUCUAAGUGUGCAGGAGCUUAGGAGCACAAGUA